rnacentral:rRNA from 1 species
UACGAAGGGGGCUAGCGUUGCUCGGAUUCAUUGGGCGUAAAGGGUGCGUAGGCGGGCAGGUAAGUCAGAGGUGAAAUCUCCGGGCUCAACCCGGAAACUGCCUUUGAUACUAUCUGUCUUGAAUAUGGUGGAGGUAAGCGGAAUAUGUCAUGUAGCGGUGAAAUGCUUAGAGAUGACAUAGAACACCUAUUGCGAAGGCAGCUUACUACGCCUAUAUUGACGCUGAGGCACGAAAGCGUGGGGAUCAAACAGG